rnacentral:snoRNA from 1 species
ACUCUCCGGUUCCCUUUCUUGGUGUUCAUAAAGGAGGGAGAGCAUGCUGAAGCUGGCCUCACAGCUUUGUAGUCUGGUAUAAGCAUGUGGGCUACUUUCAAACAGGG